AGUGUUAUUUGUAUUUAUUAAGUAAAAAACAUAAAAAUGCACAAAACUCAAUGUUAUUUAUAAUAAGUACAAUUUAUUGUAUAAUAAAAUAACAUUGUUAUUUAAAAAUUUAAAAUUAUAUUAUUUUUUUAUUAUAUAGUGAUUAAAUACAAUAAUAUAAUAAUAAAAUCUAAUAGUAUAAUUUAAAAUUUAUGUAGUCUUAUGAAAGUAUACUCAUUGAAUAGGAUUAGAGACCCUAGUAAUGUAUACCGUAAACUAAUAUAUUUUAUAAAUAUAUACUUAGGUAGUAUUUUCGCAAGAUUGAAAUUUAACAGAAUUGGCGGGAAUUAAUACAGUGGUGGAAUAUGUAAUUUAAUACGAUAAUCCACGUAAAAACUUACCAGUGUGUAAAAAUAUUAUUUAAAAAUAAAGUUUUUAUUUAAAAUAUUUUUUUAGUAUUGCAUGGCUGUCGUCAAUCCAUGUUGUAAGAUAUAUAAUUUAUUUAUAUUAAAUGGAUGUAACUUUAAUUUUUAAACAAGAUAAUUUUAAUAAAUUAUUUAUAUAUUAAUUAUGUUAUAAAUGAAGUCAAGUCUUUAUGGUCUAUGUACACUGGGCUACUUAUGUAUUACAAUAUUAAAAACAAAAUAAUAAAAUUAUGUAAAUAAUUUUUAUUUUAAAAAUUAAUAACGAACUGUACAUUGGAAUAUGUACAUGAAGUUGGAAUCACUAGUAAUUGUAAUUAAUUAUGUUACAAUGAAUGUAUAUUUUAUUUUGCACACACUGCCCAUCACACUUGAAAAAUUAUUAUUGUAGCGUAUAUAUUUAUAUAAUAAAAUAUUUAAUCUUAUUAUUUUUUAAAUGUAAUACUCUAUUAUAAGUAUUGAUUUAAGUG
rnacentral:rRNA from 1 species